rnacentral:misc_RNA from 1 species
GAUGAAGAACGUAGCGAAAUGCGAUAAGUAAUGUGAAUUGCAGAAUUCAGUGAAUCAUCGAAUCUUUGAACGCGCAUUGCGACCGCCAGUAUUCUGGCGGGCAUGCCUGUUCGAGCGUCAUUUCAACCAUCAAGCCCCAGGCUUGUGUUGGGGACCUGCGGCUGCCGCAGGCCCUGAAAACCAGUGGCGGGCUCGCUGUCACACCGGGCGUAGUAGAUUUUAUCUCGCUCAGGGCGUGCUGCGGGUUCCGGCCGUUAAAAAGCCUUUUUUACCCAAGGUUGACCUCGGAUCAGGUAGGAAGACCCGCUGAACUUAAGCAUAUCAAUAAGCGGAGGA